GACGAAGGGGGCUAGCGUUGUUCGGAAUUACUGGGCGUAAAGGGCUCGUAGGCGGCCAACUAAGUCAGACGUGAAAUCCCUCGGCUUAACCGGGGAACUGCGUCUGAUACUGGAUGGCUUGAGGUUGGGAGAGGGAUGCGGAAUUCCAGGUGUAGCGGUGAAAUGCGUAGAUAUCUGGAGGAACACCGGUGGCGAAGGCGGCAUCCUGGACCAAUUCUGACGCUGAGGAGCGAAAGCCAGGGGAGCAAAGCGGGG
rnacentral:rRNA from 1 species